rnacentral:rRNA from 1 species
GACGAACGCUGGCGGCGUGCUUAACACAUGCAAGUCGAACGGAAAGGCCCUGCUUUUGUGGGGUGCUCGAGUGGCGAACGGGUGAGUAACACGUGAGUAACCUGCCCUUGACUUUGGGAUAACUUCAGGAAACUGGGGCUAAUACCGGAUAGGAGCUCCUGCUGCAUGGUGGGGGUUGGAAAGUUUCGGCGGUUGGGGAUGGACUCGCGGCUUAUCAGCUUGUUGGUGGGGUAGUGGCUUACCAAGGCUUUGACGGGUAGCCGGCCUGAGAGGGUGACCGGCCACAUUGGGACUGGGAGACGGCCCAGACUCCUACGGGAGGCAGCAGUGGGGAAUAUUGCACAAUGGGCGGAAGCCUGAUGCAGCAACGCCGCGUGCGGGAUGACGGCCUUCGGGUUGUAAACCGCUUUCGCCUGUGACGAAGCGUGAGUGACGGUAAUGGGUAAAGAAGCACCGGCUAACUACGUG